rnacentral:rRNA from 1 species
GCCAGCAGCUAUAUCACGUUGCAACUUGCAACUGGCAGCCCACUGAAGCUCAGCAGGUGUGAGCCUGGUCAGUACCUGGAUGGGAGACCUCCUGGGGAAAAACUAAGGUGCUGCUGGAA